rnacentral:rRNA from 1 species
UACGUAGGGGGCAAGCGUUGUCCGGAAUCAUUGGGCGUAAAGCGCGUGUAGGCGGCUCGAUAAGUCCGUUCUGAAAGUCCAGGGCUCAACCCUGGGAUGCGGAUGGAUACUGUCGAGCUCGAGUCCGGAAGAGGCGAGUGGAAUUCCUGGUGUAGCGGUGAAAUGCGUAGAGAUCGGCAGGAACACCCAGGGGGAAACCAGCCGACUGGGCAUCUACUGACGCUGAGGUGCGAGAGCGUGGGGAGCGAACCGG